rnacentral:lncRNA from 1 species
UGUGUGACAGAGGUUCCUAGCAGAACACUUGAAAAGGUAAGCUAAUCAAAAUGAAGACACUGUUAGUUCUCGUCUUCAAGACAGCCUUCUUAAAGAUAGUUCACAAUUACAAGACUCAACCAUUGUCGACAAUUUUAUUGUCAAAGUCAUUGGACAAAGGAUAUUUUCUAUUUUAUGCAGGGCCAGGCUUGGACUAUUAUGAAUGUUGCUGAACACUGUUAAUCAAGCUUACACAGCUAUUUUGAUGGCAAACAAUUAGAACUCUGCAGCUCUACCUUGCAAUUAGCUUCAGGGAUAUGGACCUCAGCACCAUAAUAAUGAAAGAGACCUCCUUCAAGCACGACUUCCAAGCAUUGCUGUUACCAAAUUUCAUCAGCCAACUAUCUGCUGUGGCCUGUCAAACAGAAUCCACGUGCAUGAUCUGGAUUUUGAUUCGGGGAGCGCUUGCAAAAGAAUUAGUAGCAAAACAGGAUCCUGAAAGUUUUUCAAAGAAUCCUUUCAAGAACAACUCAAGUCACUGCAUAUGGCUGCAGUUGGGUAAUGUUCUGACUCCGAGGCAAACAGUGAUACCUAGAAUUGCACAACCUGAAAGCUGCACUUUCAGGCCCAGCCUCACCUUCCUGUUUACCCAACACUUCUAUGUACUUCAAUGUCCUGCUUCCACUUCUGCACUUCAGUAG